AUACGGAAGGUCCGGGCGUUAUCCGGAUUUAUUGGGUUUAAAGGGAGCGCAGGCGGAGAUGCAAGCGUGACGUCAAAUUUCGGGGCUCAACCCCGUCUCGCGUCGCGAACUGCGUCCCUUGGUUGCGGGAAGGGGAGGCGGAACUCGUGGUGUAGCGGUGAAAUGCAUAGAUAUCACGAGGAACUCCGAUCGCGAAGGCAGCCUUCCGGCCCGUCAACGACGCUCAUGCUCGAAGGUGCGGGUAUCAAACAGGAUUAGAUACCCUGGUAGUCCGCACAGUAAACGAUGGACACCCGCGGUUUGGCCUGUAUGGCUGAGCCGCCAAGCGAAAGCGUUAAGUGUCCCACCUGGGGAGUACGCCGGCAACGGUGAAACUCAAAGGAAUUGACGGGG
rnacentral:rRNA from 1 species